CAGCAGCCGCGGUAACACGAAGGGUGCAAGCGUUACUCGGAAUUACUGGGCGUAAAGCGUGCGUAGGUGGUGGUUUAAGUCCGUUGUGAAAGCCCUGGGCUCAACCUGGGAAUUGCAGUGGAUACUGGAUCACUAGAGUGUGGUAGAGGAUAGUGGAACUUCCGGUGUAGCAGUGAAAUGCGUAGAGAUCGGAAGGAACAUCUGUGGCGAAGGCGACUAUCUGGGCCAACACUGACACUGAGGCACGAAAGCGUGGGGAGCAAACAGGAUUAGAUACCCCGGUAGUCCCUGUCUCUUAUAC
rnacentral:rRNA from 1 species